rnacentral:lncRNA from 1 species
CCAACUCGAUCGUAAGAACAUCUCCUCUGGCUGGUGACAUCCCUUCCAAGGCCACAAAUACAUCUCCAUACUCUGAGAUAACUAGAAGAUCCUGCAACUCAUGUCGACCAUCGAAAUGAUCACCAAAAUCCAUUUACUCCCCAUAUCCAAUAACUCCUCUGCAUGUAGCAUGUAUGCAAAUAAAAUCUGCUCUGCUCCAGAAAAGUGAACUCUUGCCCUCAGGCAAUCCAACAGUACUCGAUGUCGUGAUAACAAGCCCAUCCCAAGAAUGAUAUCGCAAAACACAACUCCAUCUCUAACGAGU